rnacentral:lncRNA from 1 species
CCUUACAUGGUGAAAUUAAUUUUUUCAACAUAGAAACCCAAGUGAUAGGCAUGGAAUAAGAGGUGUUUUAUCUACAAAAGGACUCUUCCUCUGUAUAAAAAAAUUUGGAUGCCAUCUCAUGGCGCGUGCAAAGAGAAAAUGCAUGAAAUACCAAGAGUCCAAUAAAUUAAGGACUCUUCCAUAUUUCAACACAAAAAAGGAGCAUCCCAUUUAUUUUUGGCAUGGAGUUCCUUCCAAGAGAAGGACUCCUCCUCCUCU